rnacentral:lncRNA from 1 species
UAAACUAUAAAGAACGGUUUUUGGGUUGUCUGCCAAGUAGUGACUAUUUAUAAAAUUAUCCAGAUAUUCUAAAACAUUUUGGAUGUUGAGAUUUUUGAGAUAUGGUGAAACUAUGACGCUACAUUUCGUCAAACAGUUUGUAAUUUUAUUUGCGUAACACACUUAUAUAUAUGCAUUUCACCAUAUACUACUUCAAUUCAACAUUUUGGCAAACUGUUGACGUGUGUGUGUAUUUGUAAGCGAUCAGAGCUCAUGAAUGCUCACCGUUUUGCGGCACACGCUUGAAAAAAAUAACAGAGCAGCUGAGUACAAUUCCCACAUAGGUCAAAGCGAGUCUUGUAUUUUCAACCGUUUUGGUUGAAAAACGAUAAAACAAUACAAUAAAACAAUUUUUGUAUUAUUUUUAAAGUUAUUCUAAUUUUUCAAUCGAGAUGAUUGAAAGAAAAUGUAUUAUAUUUUUGAAAGUUUGAAACGCACUCAGCCGUUGUGUUAUUUCUUUCAAGCGUGUUUGUUUAUCAAGUGAAAAAGUGAAAAAAAAAGUUCUGCAUGUUCUGUUCCGAUGAAGGUUUUGGGUCCUACUGCUGUUUCUCCGUGAAUCUUCAUAACUUUUCCCAUCUGGGAGUACGUACUACCCCACUGGACCGGCGUUGGGGCGCUAUUCCAUCGGCGACUUCAAAAUCUCGUCCAAGGCUGCAGUGGCUCAUUCGACACCGGAAGAGUUUACCUCCAGACGAAUGGUGGUCGAACGAAUGGAUAUUUUCGAUCUUCUGGAAGUUAGCGAGAUAUUUGCCAGCUUAAUAGAAACUAUUCCUAAUGAAGAAUGCUUCGCUUUUGGAGCCGCACGGAUUCAACAUCAACUAAUAAUGGAAAAUGUAUUACCUAGGCAGGAUCUGUUACACUCCACAAAAGGCGGUAUGGAGGGCAUAUACAAUCAGCCGCACCCGUCACUCCAUAGCAAUUCGGAAAUUGAGAAUGCAUGAAACAACUCUCUCAACUAUGGUGGAAUCUCAUUGAUUACCCGAUAAGUUAUAGUAAAACUUCGACCAACUAGUUCAUUGUAUA